rnacentral:rRNA from 1 species
AUUGAACGCUGGCGGCAUGCCUUACACAUGCAAGUCGAACGGCAGCAUGAUCUAGCUUGCUAGAUUGAUGGCGAGUGGCGAACGGGUGAGUAAUACAUCGGAACGUGCCCUGUAGUGGGGGAUAACUAGUGGAAAGAUUAGCUAAUACGGCAUACGACCUGAGGGUGAAAGUGGGGGACCGAAAGGCCUCUUGCUUUAGGAGCGGCCGAUGUCUGAUUAGCUAGUUGGUGAGGUAAAGGCUCACCAAGGCGACGAUCAGUAGCUGGUCUGAGAGGACGAUCAGCCACACUGGGACUGAGACACGGCCCAGACUCCUACGGGAGGCAGCAGUGGGGAAUUUUGGACAAUGGGCGAAAGCCUGAUCCAGCAAUGCCGCGUGUGUGAAGAAGGCCUUCGGGUUGUAAAGCACUUUUGUCCGGAAAGAAAUGGCUCUGGUUAAUACCUGGGGUCGAUGACGGUACCGGAAGAAUAAGGACCGGCUAACUACGUG